GACGAACGCUGGCGGCGUGCUUAACACAUGCAAGUCGAGCGGUAAGGCCCCUUCUGGGGUACACGAGCGGCGAACGGGUGAGUAACACGUGAGCAAUCUGCCCAUCACAUCGGGAUAACUCCGGGAAACCGAAGCUAAUACCGCAUACGACCACCUCCGGCAUCGGAUGGUGGUGGAAAGUUCCGGCGGUGAUGGAUGAGCUCGCGGCCUAUCAGCUUGUUGGUGGGGUAACGGCCCACCAAGGCUUCGACGGGUAGCCGGCCUGAGAGGGUGACCGGCCACACUGGGACUGAGACACGGCCCAGACUCCAACGGGAGGCAGCAGUGGGGAAUAUUGGACAAUGGGCGAAAGCCUGAUCCAGCAACGCCGCGUGAGGGAUGACGGCCUUCGGGUUGUAAACCUCUUUCAGCAGGGACGAAGCGAAAGUGACGGUACCUGCAGAAGAAGCACCGGCCAACUACGUG
rnacentral:rRNA from 1 species